ACCUGUGAGCAUACACAAAAUCUACACACACACAUAUAUUAGCCAUGAAUCCCAAGCCCUUUUCUCUAUUUGUCAUACUUUUCUUGAUCGGAACAGUACUUGUUUCGCCCAUAACAUGUGCCCGGGAACUAUCCACUAAAGAUCAAGAUGUUGGUCACAAGCCUAUAAGUUAUGGGGCAUUAAGUCCGCCAGCCAUAUGCAACAAACUAAGAUAUAGGAGCUGUGUUGAGCCACCAAAGAAGAAGUGCCCUAAUCCCUACAGCCGGAACUGUAGUCCGUGAGAGAGCCGUCCGAUUUGCCGGCCGGCAAGUCGCCGGAGUCGCCUGGCCAGGCUAAACAACGAUGGAUAUACGAAUGGAAUAAAUAAAUGAGCUGAGCAGAAAAUCUCAGCUUCAGUUUAAUGUGUAUGCAUAUUGUAGUGUGUUGUUAUAUUUGCUUGUUGCAAUUGUCCUUCGUUCCCAUCUAUCGAUCUCUCUAGCUCAUUUUCAUUAGCUACUGUCCUUUGCUUAUGUAAGAAUAUAUAUAUGGAGUACACAAAUCUAAUAAUGGCUAUGAGUUUAUCUCGUCAUGUAAUAAAAAAUAUAAAAGUUUGUACUUA